AUUGAACGCUGGCGGCAUGCCUUACACAUGCAAGUCGAACGGUAACGCGGGGCAACCUGGCGACGAGUGGCGAACGGGUGAGUAAUGCAUCGGAACGUGCCCAGUAGUGGGGGAUAGCCCGGCGAAAGCCGGAUUAAUACCGCAUACGACCUACGGGUGAAAGCGGGGGACCGUAAGGCCUCGCGCUAUUGGAGCGGCCGAUGUCAGAUUAGGUAGUUGGUGGGGUAAAGGCCUACCAAGCCGACGAUCUGUAGCUGGUCUGAGAGGACGACCAGCCACACUGGGACUGAGACACGGCCCAGACUCCUACGGGUGGCAG
rnacentral:rRNA from 1 species